UGCGGACCAUAAACUCCGCCCUCCUUGUCUGCACGAGUGUGUGACAGUGUUCAAAGAUUGGUCUAUGCGAUCAAGAAUAACCGUUAACGUGGGACCAAUGAGAAGGACUAGUAUUGGAUGGUUAAAGCUGAAGAGCACCAGCCCUCUAGAUCACCCAAUCCUCUAGCCCAACCACCUAUUAACAGACAUAGAUGUAUGGGAGUUCAGGGAGAGUGUCAAGCUCCUUCGGGAGAUCUUCGCCCAGAAGGCCUUCGACCCAUUCCGGGGGCCCGAGGUACAGCCGGGACCUGAGUUUUAGUCAGACGCAGAGAUCGAUGUGUUUGUGCGUCGCAAGGCUGACAGCGCAUACCAUCCAUCUUACACGUGUAAGAUGGGCUCGCCAUCUGACCCCAUGGCAGUGGUGGACCCAGAGACACACGUGCUAGGCCUCGAGGGGCUCCGUGUGGUUGACGCUUCCAUCAUGCCCAGUGUCGUCAGCGGCAACCUCAACGUCCCCACCAUUAUGAUCACCGAAAAGCCUGCUGACAUCAUCAGAGAGCGACCGGCACUCAGAGACCCCGGGGGUGCCUGUGUACCAGCCUGCAUCUCUAGAAACCUGGCGAUGAGCCUCAGACCUGUGGACCUGCAUUGUUACCAUCCCCUAAGGGCCUGUACAGACAGAAGCGAUGCUAAUUAUUCAUGUACACAUGGGUCCGUCUCACCCCAUCUUAAAUUAAUCCCAAAACACACAACUUCAAAAAAAACAUUAAAGUCUUCAGGGACCACGGUGUCAGCUGGUUUUCAUCCAUACUUAAUGAUGAGCAUCUGAUUAGACCGCGGGAAAAAACCGUGUAGUAGACUCUGUUGGAAGUCAGUGACUAUAACUUAUAUUAUUGAAGUACCAAUACAAGCUAACUGGCAGAAACUGAAACACUGAGACCCUGAGUUCCUCUGUUUUAAAACAUCCCUGUUGAUUCGUUUUCCCUAGUCUUGGUUACCGUCCUGAUAAUGCUGGUAUUCUAUCUAAUCCGUAUGUUCAUUUACAAUGAGAGAGACAACUAAGAGCUAGAGAUGGUAAGUCCAUUUACAGCACUAUUACAUUAUCUCUUCAGUUGACAACCAGAGGUUGGAUAAGGGGCACUAGUACAAAACAAUUAUUAAUAAUUAAAUAAGUAAUAAAUAUCACUAAAUAAUUUGAUAUGAUUUGAUCAACUCCUCUGGGUUUUUCUUUUUACAUAAAUGUUUACAAUUAUAAGAGAUUGAUUUUAUAUGAAGGAUUUAGCUUUUGAAUCGCCUUGCCAGUCAUGAAAGUGUCUUGAUGAAGUAUGAUGUCUUGAUUGAAGUUUGCCAUUGAACCUGGCAUACACUGCCUUAAAUUAAGUAUGUUUUGUAUGAAGCUUUAAUCUAUUGAUUAUUUCAGCAGAGCUGCAGUAUUGUGGUAUAGUAGUAUUAACCCCCAUGUUAGUGUUAGCUUUUGACUACUUUUUAAAUGAAGAAUAUUACCGAAGUCGUACGUCAUCGCUUUGCACCCUGUGUUUUACACACUCACUAACAGCUGUGAUGGUAAUUUUUUAAAUAAUAUGUAGAGUCCAUAUUUUUGGUUUGCAAAUUCCUGCCGCUGAGUACAUAUAGCACAGAUAUUGUCAUCUGGAGCCAUUGAGUGACUCGGAGAGAGUUUAUUCAGUUGUGAUCAUUACAAAAUCAUCAGCAUUCCAGGCAAAUAUUCAAGAGAAUAAAGGAAAUGUAAAAAAAAAAAAAAAAGUUA